UGGCGAACGGGUGAGUAACACGUGGGUGAUCUGCCCUGCACUUCGGGAUAAGCCUGGGAAACUGGGUCUAAUACCGGAUAGGAGCCAUUUUUAGUGUGAUGGUUGGAAAGUUUUUCGGUGUAGGAUGAGCUCGCGGCCUAUCAGCUUGUUGGUGGGGUAAUGGCCUACCAAGGCGGCGACGGAUAGCCGGCCUGAGAGGGUGGACGGCCACAUUGGGACUGAGAUACGGCCCAG
rnacentral:rRNA from 1 species